CCGAAAAUUAUACAAUGUGAAGUACCCAUUGAAUUAAAACAAGAUCAGAAACAAGUUAUGGUACGAUGCUUGUGAUGUUACUCUGAGUGUAUAUCCACAUCGGGCAGGCUUGAAAAAUAUGCCUGGCCACGGUGGGAAUCGAACCUACGACCUUUGGAAUACUAGCCCAAGGCUCAGUUGGCAGAGCCUUGGGUUAGUAUUCCAAAGAUCGUAGGUUCGAUUCCCAUCGUGGGCAGGCAUAUUUUUCAAGCCUGCCCGGUGUGGAUAUACACUCAGAGUAACAUCACAUGUACAAGCAUCUUAUUUACCUGAGUACAUUACACCAACACAGCAAAUUUCAAGUUAUGGUACUUCAAUACUAGGUUAUGAAAAUAUCAUAACUUGUUUUUGGUUCUUCUUAGUUACAUACUACAAUUAGUCUGGACUGCAUGUUGUUUGAAGCAGUUAUGUCGGAAAUUGUUUUCGCAACUGCUCCUGAUUACGUGUGAAAUAUGUAUACAGUUUUCUCUCUAAUUUCCAUCUACAAAACCCUUCAACUUUCUGUUCUAUUAAUUAGCAUGCCUUAAAUUUACUG